rnacentral:rRNA from 1 species
AACGAACGCUGGCGGCAUGCCUAACACAUGCAAGUCGAACGAGACCUUCGGGUCUAGUGGCGCACGGGUGCGUAACGCGUGGGAACCUGCACUUAGGUUCGGAAUAACUCCCCGAAAGGGGUGCUAAUACCGGAUAAUGUCUUCCGACCAAAGAUUUAUCGCUUUUGGAUGGGCGCGCGUUGGCUUCGCUGGUUGGUAGGGUAAAAGCCUACCAAGGCGACGAUGCAUGGCUGGUCUGAGAGGAUGACCAGCCAGACUGGAGCUGAGACACGGCCCAGUAUCGGACGCAGGGGAGGAGUGGAGUGUACUAUGGGAGGGGGGAAGGCCUGAUCAAGCAGCGCGGGGGAUGAGAGGAAGGCCGUAGGGAUGUAAAUCUCUUUUACCCGAGAUGAUAGUGACAGUAACGGGUGAAGAAGCACCGGCUAACUACGUG